rnacentral:rRNA from 1 species
CUGCGGUAGAAGUCGGUUAGAAGAUCGCGAGGCGCAGGGGUUAGGGGCGCCGUCGAGGAACUAAAAGCCAGCUAAGGUGGUCUUAGCACGAAGGGGCUGGGACGAAACAGAUUGAUCUAGCUCUUUAUGCCUAGCGGCGGCGAGGAGGGAAAGGGGAGGAAAGGCAUGCACGCGAAGGGGGGCUCAACUGGGACGGAGACCAGCGGCGGGCGCGAGGACAUUCGGCGGCGGCUGGAGUAGACGCCAGUCGGCGCGGGUUACGGGAGGAACGAAAAGAGAGGGAGAAAAGUGAUUAGAGAGAGGGAGAGAAACAAGGGUGUGACGGCCUGCGGUACCGGUCGCCUCCGGCCCCGUGCGUCGGCACUACCGGGGCUCGAGUCGCCGCACCUUCGGUCCGCGGCCGUUCCGGCCCCAGCUCCAGCCACUCGGACCGCCACCGCCAGCCCACGCGUAGUUCGUCGUACAGUAGGAGGCAGGUCGUCAUGUUGAACCUCUCCAGGUUGCUCCAUUCGCGCCCCGUCCAGACCUCGUCGCCGAGCUCUAGGUGCGGCGGCCUCUCUAGCUGCAACGCUUCGAAUGGGGCGGUCGUCCCACGCUCACGCUCCGACCGUACGCACCUCCCCAGCGCCGUCAUCUACCGCUCCAGCCUGUGCCGCCCCUUCAUCUACCGCUCCGCGCAGCGUUGUUCCGCAAGGCGAGCCGCUAAAGAAAGCCCACCUCGCCCUCCAACAACCUCCUCCUCCGCCCGCGGGGGCGCUAAGUGCUCCGGUUCCUCUUGUCGCCCACCGGGAUGUUGCUUUGGUCGCUCUCCAACUCGGCGAGCUCGUGGCCCUUCGUCUUCCAGCCGCUCUCGUCGUCCUUCGGUCCGCGGGAGCCAAGGGGCGCGUCGCGGUAGUGCUGGGCACAGCGGGCGAGGCGGCGGUCGUCGGACGCCGUGCGGUAGCUCCGGGACACGGCACUGGUCCACAGCGGGUCCUUCGGGUCCUACUAGGUGUGUUUGACUUAUCGUUCCUCGCCUGUUGGUCAUCCGCUGCACUGCCGCUUCCGUUGCUCUUGCCGCAACGUUAGCGUUGUACACCAUCUUACCUCUUUUCCUAUGAGUCCCGUACCUACUCCUCCGAUUCGUCGUUAAAACGUAGUGCACGUCUUAAUGUAUUGUCGUCUCCUAGGAGUGGGUACCACGAAAAUAACCAAUUGAUAAAUGAUAACGCUUACGUCUCACAAUUAAAAAGGUCUUAAACAAAUUGCUUUAAUGACACUUGUACUGGGAAAGGUACUGCUAAAAGUGUGCUGGAACACUAGUUACCAACGCCGGGUACACUUUGCUCCACUAGUUACCGACGAUAUAACAGCACAUCUUUAGCCCGUACUUAGGUAAAAACUUGUUCACUCAACAAUACGAAGACAUGAAAAAUUGAAGGUAGGGGGUUUUUAAACCAUCUACUGAUAACAUAACUGGUACAAUCAGUCCCAUUACACGUAUUCUGGAACGACUUCAGUUAUACUAUAUACGAGGUAUGUCAGUCAAUUGAACUAAGAAGUACUGAUAAGUUACCUGAGACGAAACGUUUGAUUUGUAAUAACAGACUAAGACAUCACAAAACAAAGUCCUCGAUGAACACCACCACGAUGCCAUUCAACUACACUUUAGGAGAUAAGCGAUGAUAUAUAAUUCUCAACUACACUUUAGGGUGUUAAAAACAAUACAUCCAUCAGUUUUAUAAAAGUCAGACGUAUGAACAUGUUCGUAAAAAAAUUGACUUUGAACAUAUUCCUAGUCUAGAUCCUAUAAAACUGAGAGAAGAGUUUUUUAUAUAACGUAUCGUUAUCAAUCAAACUGUAACGACAACAUGGUUAAACUCAUACUCUACUAUAAUCUCCGUGAUACUUCACAUUUAUACCUUCAUUAACAGGCGGGAGAAAAAAACAUAAGAAAAUCGAAUUCGAAUGUGACUGACGAGUUAUUUUAAAGAAGACUACAAAAAAUAAAAGAAAAGAGAUUACUACCAGACUACGUACUGGUUAAGUAAAGAGGGAAGAUAGACUAACGGCCAAACCACUGCUGAAAGACUAUUAAACAUACAGAAAAACCUGACCAGUAAUCAAAGACUUUAAUUCUAUGAGACUAAACCCUCCCUAUCUACCCAUGUAUGACAAAAGUGUAACGUCCUCUCUAUUAACACUAGUAAACGGAUAACACUUAUGACAAAGACACAUUAGUCUAAGAGUUUCCACACAACGGUUGCUUCCACUUCCGAUCUACAAGACGAGAACACAGACUUGUUAGACAUCAACGGUCGUACAAAAAAGAAUUGUCAAAAGUCAGAUGAACGGGUACUACAUAUAUGUUAAAUAUGUCAAGGUAAUUUGAACGAAGAUACAAGAAAACAACACUUUUAUGUAGCCAAGUACCAGUGACUUAUUUGAGUACAACUGAUAACAGCCGUCUCCACUUCUACAUUGCUUCUACCGCACUAUAUCUCCAUGUAUUUUUACCCUAGUUUAUUGUUCCCUUAAACACAACCACAACUACGAACGGACUUAACAUAAUACCACACGCGUAAGAGGCCCACACGUAACUCACAUGGAGUACAACUGAUAACAGCGGCCUCCACUUCUACAUCUACUUCUACAGCACUACAGCUCCAUGUACUUUUACCCUAGCUUCUUGUUCUCUUCUUAAUCACAACCACAACUACGAACGGACUUAACAUAAUACCACGCGCGUAAAAGACCCACACGUAACUCACAUGGAGUACAAGUGAUAACAGCCGCCUCCACUUCUACAUCUACUUCUACAGCACUAGAGCUCCAUGUACUUUUACCCUAGCUUCUUGUUCUCUUCUUAAACACAACCACAACUACGAACGGACCUAACAUAAUACCACGCACGUAAGAAGCCCAGACGUAACUCGCAUGUACUAACGAACUUUUAUGGUUAUAGAGCCGUUCAAACCCAAUAUAUAUUGAUCUUGCUGUACCUGUGACGAGGUAAACUGUUCAAAACUAAAAAAAAUCGAUCUUUGUUAUGGAUGUGCUCGCGAGUUCU